rnacentral:rRNA from 1 species
GAUUGAACGCUGGCGGCAUGCCUUACACAUGCAAGUCGAACGGUAACAGGUUAAGCUGACGAGUGGCGAACGGGUGAGUAAUGUAUCGGAACGUGCCCAGUCGUGGGGGAUAACUGCUCGAAAGAGCAGCUAAUACCGCAUACGACCUGAGGGUGAAAGCGGGGGAUCGCAAGACCUCGCGCGAUUGGAGCGGCCGAUAUCAGAUUAGGUAGUUGGUGAGGUAAAGGCUCACCAAGCCGACGAUCUGUAGCUGGUCUGAGAGGACGACCAGCCACACUGGGACUGAGACACGGCCCAGACUCCUACGGGAGGCAGCAGUGGGGAAUUUUGGACAAUGGGCGCAAGCCUGAUCCAGCCAUGCCGCGUGCGGGAAGAAGGCCUUCGGGUUGUAAACCGCUUUUGUCAGGGAAGAAAAGGUUCUGGCUAAUACCUGGGACUCAUGACGGUACCUGAAGAAUAAGCACCGGCUAACUACGUG